rnacentral:rRNA from 1 species
AUGGCUCAGGAUGAACGCUAGCGGCAGGCUUAACACAUGCAAGUCGAGGGGGCAGCGGGAUGUAGCAAUACAUUGCCGGCGACCGGCGGAUGGGUGCGUAACGCGUAUGCAACCUACCUUAUACAGGGGAAUAACCUUUCGAAAGGGAGACUAACACCCCAUAGUAUUGAUUUAAGGCAUCUUAGAUUAAUUAAAUAUUUAUAGGUAUAAGAUGGGCAUGCGGUAUGAUUAGCUAGUUGGUAAGGUAACGGCUUACCAAGGCGACGAUCAUUAGGGGUUCUGAGAGGAAGGUCCCCCACACUGGUACUGAGACACGGACCAGACUCCUACGGGAGGCAGCAGUGAGGAAUAUUGGUCAAUGGGCGCAAGCCUGAACCAGCCAUGCCGCGUGACCAGGAAGACGGCCUUAUGGGUUGUAAACUGUCUUUUACAUAAGACUAACCGUAUAUUUGCGAAUAUACCUGAAUGUAUUAUGAGAAUAAGGAUCGGCUAACUCCGUGCCAGCCGCCGC